GACGGGGGGGGCAAGUGUUCUUCGGAAUGACUGGGCGUAAAGGGCACGUAGGCGGUGAAUCGGGUUGAAAGUGAAAGUCGCCAAAAAGUGGCGGAAUGCUCUCGAAACCAAUUCACUUGAGUGAGACAGAGGAGAGUGGAAUUUCGUGUGUAGGGGUGAAAUUCGUAGAUAUCGGGAGGAACACCGGUGGCGAAGGCGGCGAUCUGGGUAGAUACUGACGCUGAGGUGCGAAAGCGUGGGGAGCAAACAGG
rnacentral:rRNA from 1 species